UGGCUCCCGACCGCCCUGUAGACGAGGGGCCUCUUCAACCGUGGCCUCUGCGCGGGGACACCGGAAGGUCGGGAUGGGACGGGCACAGGCCCGAAGCGCUUUGGUGUCGCUGCUCUCAGUUCACGUGGUGCCUUUCUCUUCUUCACUUCCUGUCAGGAAUCUAUCCGCGUUUCUUCUAUGUUUCGAAGCAGUGCUCCACGUAUUGUCCAAAGCCGAACGUCCGCGAGCCGGAAUUCAGAGAAGGCGGACGAGCAAGCCGCUUGAGGAGCAGCGGGGCCUGGCUGGCCGCCUUCCUGACUCUGUCCUCUGUGUGAGGGGCCUCGGGCGGUGCCUUGGGAGCGCGGCACCGAUGACCCGGACUCGCCGCAGGUGAUGGGAACCUCAGCAUUAAACCUGUUUUCCGCUGGUUAA